AGGCAGCAGUGGGGAAUAGUUGCACAAUGGGCGCAAGCCUGAUGCAGCAACGCCGUGUGAGUGAAGAAGGUUUUCGGAUCGGUAAAACUCUGUCCUAAGGGAAGAAACAAAUGACGGUACCUUAGGAGGAAGCCCCGGCUAACUACGUGCCAGCAGCCGCGGUAAUACGUAGGGGCAAGCGUUAUCCGGAAUCACUGGGCGUAAAGGGUGCGUAGGCGGCUUAGCAAGCCAGGGGUGAAAGGCAUUGGCUCAACCAAUGUAAGCCUUUGGAACUGUUAGGCUUGAGUGCAGGAGAGGUAAGUGGAAUUCCUAGUGUAGAGGUGAAAUUCGUAGAUAUUAGGAGGAACACCAGUGGCGAAGGCGACUUACUGGACUGUAACUGACGCUGAUGCACGAAAGCGUGGGUAGCGAACAGGAUUAGAUACCCUGGUAG
rnacentral:rRNA from 1 species